rnacentral:lncRNA from 1 species
GGGAUAAGACUUGUUUUCUUCAAUUUUAACACCAUGGAGAUAAGAUUCACUGCCUUCAGCUUUAAUCUACUCCGCUGCAACGCCAGAGAAACAAGAUAAGAAAAGGCGUGAAAGGACGGAGGGCUAAAUGAGCAAUAAACCCAAAUUUCAGACCACGCCCAAGGGUCCAACGAAUCGAGGACCGAAGUAAAAACCACAACAAACCUACGGUCUAAAUUACAAAACAAGGAAAAAAAAGAAAAAAUGAUUAAAUCAAAACAAACUGAUAAUGCGGAGGAGCCAAAUGGGCAAAUAGCCCAAAAC